rnacentral:rRNA from 1 species
AUGACGCUGGCGGCAGGCCUAAACUUGCAUCUCGUACCAAGGUACCCGUAAGCUUGCUCCUUGGGUGACGAGUGGCGGACGGGUGAGUAAUGUCUGGGAAACUGCCCGAUGGAGGGGGAUAACUACUGGAAACGGUAGCUAAUACCGCAUAACGUCGCAAGACCAAAGAGGGGGACCUUCGGGCCUCUUGCCAUCGGAUGUGCCCAGAUGGGAUUAGCUAGUAGGUGGGGUAACGGCUCACCUAGGCGACGAUCCCUAGCUGGUCUGAGAGGAUGACCAGCCACACUGGAACUGAGACACGGUCCAGACUCCUACGGGAGGCAGCAGUGGGGAAUAUUGCACAAUGGGCGCAAGCCUGAUGCAGCCAUGCCGCGUGUAUGAAGAAGGCCUUCGGGUUGUAAAGUACUUUCAGCGAGGAGGAAGGCGUUGUGGUUAAUAACCGCAACGAUUGACGUUACUCGCAGAAGAAGCACCGGCUAACUCCGUGCCAGCAGCCGCGGUAAUACGGAGGGUGCAAGCGUUAAUCGGAAUUACUGGGCGUAAAGCGCACGCAGGCGGUCUGUCAAGUCGGAUGUGAAAUCCCCGGGCUCAACCUGGGAACUGCAUCCGAAACUGGCAGGCUAGAGUCUUGUAGAGGGGGGUAGAAUUCCAGGUGUAGCGGUGAAAUGCGUAGAGAUCUAGAGGAAUACCGGUGGCGAA